rnacentral:misc_RNA from 1 species
GGAGGGUCCAACUUGAAAUUGAAAAACAAAUUUACUGUUUCAUGGAGUUGGUUCCGGCUUAGUUAUGCUAAACACAACAUUUUGAGAGUUCUUACUUAUCAGAAAGGUCUUGCCAACUCGCUGCCGAUUACAGGAUUAAAACAAGUCGACGUGGGUGACCUUCUGUUUUUCUUUUCUUAAAAUAUUUUGUGAUGGUCAAAGGUCAAUAUUUGUGUUCGAGUUUUUAUGUAUUCUUUUCUUAUAAUACAUUGGCAACCAAAACCAAUU